ACGGCUCAGUAACACGUAGUCAACAUGCCCAGGGGACGUGGAUAACCUCGGGAAACUGAGGCUAAACCGCGACAGGCCAAGAUUUCUGGAAUGGAUCAUGGCUUAAAUCUAUAUGGCCCCUGGAUUGGACUGCGGCCGAUCAGGCUGUUGGUGAGGUAAUGGCCCACCAAACCUGUAACCGGUACGGGCUCUGAGAGGAGGAGCCCGGAGAUGGGCACUUAGACAAGGGCCCAGGCCCUAUGGGGCGCAGCAGGCGCGAAACCUCUGCAAUAAGCGAAAGCUUGACAGGGUUACUCUGAGUGAUUUCCGCUAAGGAAGUCUUUUGGCACCUCUAAAAAUGGUGCAGAAUAAGGGGUGGGCAAGUCUGGUGUCAGCCGCCGCGGUAAUACCAGCACCCCGAGUGGUCGGGACGAUUAUUGGGCCUAAAGCAUCCGUAGCCGGUCCUGCGAGUCCUCCGUUAAAUCCACCCGCUCAACGGUUGGGCCGCGGGGGAUACUACAGGGCUAGGAGGCGGGAGAGGCAAGCGGUACUCGAUGGGUAGGGGUAAAAUCCACUGAUCCAUUGAAGACCACCAGUGGCGAAGGCGGCUUGCCAGAACGCGCUCGACGGUGAGGGAUGAAAGCUGGGGGAGCAAACCGGAUUAGAUACCCGGGUAGUCCCAGCUGUAAACGAUGCAGACUCGGUGAUGGGCUGGCUUCGUGCCAACCCGGUGCCGCAGGAAGCCGUUAAGUCUGCCGCCUGGGGAGUACGGUCGCAAGACUGAAACUUAAAGGAAUUGGCGGGGGGAGCAC
rnacentral:rRNA from 1 species